ACGCACAGCAGUAUUGAUGAGUAGAUCCUUGGGUUCAGAGGUUGGCUGAAGCGCACCAUGCCUGCUUCCAUCCUUCGCUCCGGAAAGUUGUGAAUUGCUCAUGCCUAUAGCGAGGAAGGAUGGCACAUGGGAUUCCUUCUCAAGGCAAAGUUACCAUAUCGGUGGAUGAAUACAGCUCUAACCCCACCCAGGCGUUCACGCACUACAACAUCAACCAGAGCAGAUUCCAGCCGCCACAUGUACAUAUGGUCGACCCCAUCCCAUAUGACACUCCAAAACCAGCGGGCCACAUGCGGUUUGUCUGCAUCUCAGACACACACUCCAGAACAGAUGGUAUCCAGAUGCCUUAUGGGGACAUCCUUCUCCACACAGGCGAUUUCACCGAGCUGGGACUGCCCUCAGAGGUUAAGAAGUUUAAUGACUGGUUAGGAAACCUGCCAUAUGAAUAUAAAAUAGUGAUUGCUGGGAAUCAUGAACUGACAUUUGAUAAGGAAUUCAUGGCAGACCUCGUUAAACAGGACUACUACCGUUUCCCCUCUGUGUCCAAAUUGAAACCAGAGGACUUUGACAAAGUUCAGUCCCUCCUGACAAACAGUAUUUACUUACAAGACUCGGAGGUAACAGUGAAGGGAUUCAGGAUAUACGGUGCACCUUGGACCCCGUGGUUUAAUGGAUGGGGCUUUAACCUACCCAGAGGUCAGUCUCUGCUGGACAAAUGGAACCUCAUCCCCGAGGGCAUCGACAUUCUCAUGACACAUGGACCUCCUCUAGGUUUUCGAGACUGGGUUCCAAAGGAGCUUCAGAGAGUGGGCUGCGUGGAGCUCUUAAACACAGUGCAGAGGCGAGUCCGACCCAAGCUCCACGUGUUUGGUGGAAUUCACGAAGGUUAUGGCAUCAUGACCGACGGUUACACAACCUACAUCAAUGCCUCAACGUGUACAGUCAGCUUUCAACGGACCAACCCUCCAAUUAUAUUUGACCUUCCAAACCCACAGAAUUCCUGAAGCUCUGAAUGCCCAACUGGAAUGUGAGGGAAGGUCUAUAAACUGCCAUUUUUUCUAAUUAUAAAUUUACAUUCUCUGACUUGUUUAUUUCCAAAUCCUGUGAGUUCUUUUUGUAAAUUGCUGGAACAACAACAACAAAAAAUGAUGCUAAAGGUUGUGCUUCUUUAUUAUUAUUAUUAUUAUUAUUUUUAAAUGGGGUAUCCAUUUGAAAUCAGAGGAGCACUGUGAAUUUGUAAAAUGACUUCUGUUUUCUUAAAGGCCACGCCAUUGUAAAUUGUUAGUGUUCGCCAAAGGACAGCCAAGCUUUCUUUUUAAAAGGUGAUAAAAGUCUUAUUUUAAUAUGCUUUAAGCUGGAAGAAAAAAAGAAAACAGGUAGGCAGUGUUUUAAAAACCAACCAGAUUUGCACAACUGUUUAAGAGUAUUGUUUGAACUAUUUUACUUUUUUUGAUGUUUUGUUAUUAUUGUUUUCUUGGUCAUGCUUCUUUUCUGCAGAUGGGGCCCAGAUUUAUGGGAAUCUUUUCAACAAAAGUCGGCGUGGAAAUAGACUUCCCCUCACACUCUCACUCUAAAGAGAGUUGUGUCAAGGGAAGAAAACAGCCCACGUCUUAAAAGAUGGCUUAGCUAGUGAGAUCCAUACUGUGGUUAUGCAAGGUCUCCUUGUUUGUUGCUUUUAAAUUAUUUUAGCUUUAAAAAAUAUGGAAAUGGAAUCUG